UACGUAGGUGACAAGCGUUGUCCGGAUUUACUGGGCGUAAAGAGCGCGCAGGCGGUCGUUCAAGUCGAGUGUGAAAUCCCCGGGCCUAACCUGGGAACUGCAUUUGUGACUGCAUGGCUAGAGUUUGUCAGAGGGGGGUGGAAUUCCACGUGUAGCAGUGAAAUGCGUAGAUAUGUGGAGGAACACCGAUGGCGAAGGCAGCCCCCUGGGAUGUGACUGACGCUCAUGUACGAAAGCGUGGGGAGCAAACAGG
rnacentral:rRNA from 1 species